AUACGUAGGGAGCGAGCGUUGUCCGGAUUUACUGGGUGUAAAGGGUGCGUAGGCGGCUCUGCAAGUCAGGUGUGAAACCCCUCGGCUUAACUGAUGGACUGCAUUUGAAACUGUGGGGCUUGAGUGUAGUAGAGGCAGACGGAAUUCCCGGUGUAGCGGUGAAAUGCGUAGAGAUCGGGAAGAACACCAGUGGCGAAGGCGGUCUGCUGGGCUCUAACUGACGCUGAGGCACGAAAGCAUGGGUAGCAAACAGGAUUAGAUACCCUGGUAGUCCAUGCCGUAAACGAUGAUUACUAGGUGUGGGGAGUCUGACCCUCUCAGUGCCGGAGUUAACACAAUAAGUAAUCCACCUGGGAAGUACGACCGCAAGGUUAAA
rnacentral:rRNA from 1 species